rnacentral:rRNA from 1 species
GAUGAACGCUGACAGAAUGCUUAACACAUCAGCAAUUGACUGGUGGCGGACGGGUGAGUAACGCGUAAAUCACUUGCCUCACAGCUAGGGACAACAUUUGGACACGAAUGCUAAUACCUAAUACUGUGAGAGAGCUUUGCGUCCCAUUAGCUAGUUGGAGAGGUAACGGCUCACCAAGGCGAGGAUGGGUAGCCGUCCUGAGAGGGUGAUCGGCCACAAGGUGACUGAGACACGGGCCUUACGCCUACGGGAGGCAGCAGUGGGGAAUAUAGGACAAUGGGCCAAAGUAUGAUCCAGCAAUUCGGUGUGCACGAUGAAGUUUUCGGAAUGUAAAGUGCUUUCAGUUGGGAAGCGGUACCAACAGAAGAAGUGACGGCUAAAUACGUGCCAGCAGCCGCGGUAAUAC